GAACGGACAGGCUUCGGAGACGGACAAUGUGGCUGAGGGGGUGACUGGGUCGGUGUGUCUGGAGUUGUCACGGUAACAGGCUGGUGACUGACUGCAGACCUGGUUGGCCGCUCAGAGAGGAUAAGGAUGGAGAGGAGGACACUCAUCAUCUACUGCUUCAACUGGUAGGAUUGCAAGGAAGGAGAACGAGAAGGGAUAAAAAGUCAUUCUGAAAACUUACGUCACAUCAGUUUUCAGUUGAACAGAAAUAAGAAGUCUCGGAAAGAAAAUAAAUGCCAUUUGAUCUGAUCUCGU